GCGCCCGUAGCUCAACUGGAUAGAGCACGAGAUUCCGGAUCUCGCGGUUGAAGGUCCGAGUCCUUUCGGGCGCG
rnacentral:tRNA from 1 species